rnacentral:rRNA from 1 species
AGGACGAACGCUGGCGGCGUGCUUAACACAUGCAAGUCGAGCGAGGCCCUUCCUUCGGGAAGGAGCCCUAGCGGCGAACGGGUGAGUAACACGUGGGCAACCUGCCCCUAGCACUGGGAUAACUCCGGGAAACCGGGGCUAAUACCGGAUAUGACCUUUGAGGGCAUCCUCUUUGGUGUAAAGGAUUCUGGCUAGGGAUGGGCCCGCGGCCUAUCAGCUUGUUGGUGGGGUAAAGGCCUACCAAGGCGACGACGGGUAGCCGGCCUGAGAGGGCGACCGGCCACACUGGGACUGAGACACGGCCCAGACUCCUACGGGAGGCAGCAGUGGGGAAUAUUGCACAAUGGGCGAAAGCCUGAUGCAGCGACGCCGCGUGAGGGAUGACUGCCUUCGGGUUGUAAACCUCUUUCAGCAGGGACGAAGCGAAAGUGACGGUACCUGCAGAAGAAGCACCGGCCAACUACGUGCCAGCAGCCGC